UAGCUUAUAAAUACAUACCUGUGUUAGUGAUUCCCAAAUCUGGCUAAUUUUAGGUAUUUCUAGAGGAGUUUUUUAAAAGACUCUGUUGGGGCCCAAAAAUCUGUACUUUUAAAAGUUAUCAGGUAGUUGUGCUCACUCAGGUUUAGAAACUAAUGAUGUAGUACAACCUAAGGUACAAACUAAGUCACAAUUCAAGAGUGACCUGCCUCCAAAAUUUUUAGUUAUUCUGAUAAUAAAAAUAUUUCCCCCAUCGUGGCCAGUGUGGCUCAGCUGGUUGAAGCGUUGUCCCGUACACCAAAGGGUAGCAGGUUUGAUUUCUGGUCAGAACACAUACCUGGGUUACAGGUUUGGUCCCUGAUUGGGGCACGUAUGGAGGCAACCGAUCAAUGUUUCUCACUCCCUUUCCCACACUAAAAAAAAGUUCUCGAAAUAAACCUCAAAUUCUUGAUAAUAUACAAGGUAAAACUGAAUUGUCAAUUCAGC